UGCAGUUUCUGCAUACACACACUGCCAGGUCUCCAUGUCUGGCCCCCUGAGCCAGCUCUCCCUCCCCCGUCCCUCCCUGAUCCCUCUCUCUCCUCCUAGUCUCCGCCUCCUGCCCCCCCUCGGCCUUUUUACUCACCACAGCACCUGUUCACUACCACACACACUACUCCCCUCACAAAGGUGACCAACAUCUCAAGUUGGGAGAAGCUGGGCCUUUCUUCCUUGACGCCGCUGGCUACCUAGCUCGAUCGUGUUUUCUUGCACGCUAGCCCAACGAAGCCAUGAUGGAGCUCGCGAUGGAGAGGAGGAGCUCUGCGACAAUCAAGCAGCCCCGUGAGCUUCAGAUGUUCACAUGGAAUGACGAAACACAUGCAUCUUGGCCGCCAGGAGCAUUGGUUCAGAUGGUUCAUGCUUAGCCCUGUCACGGUGUUAUCCUAAUUGAGCUUUUCAUUCAGCCAUCAUUCUCAUCAUUCUUCACAUUCUUGCCAUCGCAACGUUUAGAGUCUUGCAAGAUCGAGUCUUCUUGACCUUGCAAGACCUUUUCUUGACUUUGUAAGACCCAAUGUUGUGAUGGUUCUUCUCUUUGACUCGAUCCUCUCUACCUCGCAUCUUCCUCCUCAUUCUUCAGUCCUUCCUCUAUCUAUCCCUCUUGAGCUGCGUUCCUAAGUUUAGUGGUAGUGGUAGCUAGAUUUCAGUAUACUAUAAUUUGAUCUUCAGCGAGAAGUGAACGGUGUGGUGCUUCUCAUAAUACAGUCAUGUGUACUGCUGUGUGAGGUGUGAACUCAUCGUGUAAAACCAUCCCUUCCAACAUAUAUUUUGCUUUGAUUGUAGAGUGUAGUAGAUGAGACACAAAAGCAUGUUCCUGUUGCACCAUGAUGCUCAGGCAUGUGAAGUAGGCUCCUACUUGUAAGCUAGCUUCGUAUGUAUCCCAUCAGUGGAAUAAGUAGGGUGUGUGUGCUUGAAACAUUUUGGAUCCAUGUGCUUUCUUACUAUUGAGAACUGCUCAUUUUGGUACCGCACGCAA